rnacentral:rRNA from 1 species
AAAACUAGCCAGUCUUUUGGGUAUGAAAACCCAUUUGGGCGAGAGUAGUACUAGGAUGGGUGACCUCCUGGGAAGUCCUCGUGAAAGGGUUUC